UUCGGUCGGUAACGAUGAACGCUGGAGCAGUGGUCAGUUGGAGGUCUCCGGGGCGUACGACCGGCUCAACAAGAAGCUCACUGUCAGGGUGGUCCAGGCCAGAGGCGUGCUGAGCAGUCGGGAGAGCCAAAGCUACACACAGGUGGAGCUAGCCCUGCUACCAGAGAAGAAACAGAGAUUCCUGAGCGAACUGCAGUAUGGCGAUAACCCUCGCUUCAACCAGACCUUCGUGUUUGACAACAUACAGCCAGAGGCCCUGCGGGAGUCGGCGGUGCGGCUACGACUCCUGGCCAGUGACCGUCUGCGGCGGCACCAGACUCUGGGCGAGGCCGUUCUGCCCUGCACUCCGGAGAGAUUGCAGCGCCAUACCUCGAUCUGGCUCUCUCUGAGGCCGCACGUCAACAG